GAAGCCGGAAUUGCUAGUAAUGGCAGGUCAGCAUACUGCCGUGAAUACGUUCCCGGGCCUUGUACACACCGCCCGCCACACCAUGAGAGUUGGAGAUACCCGAAGCCUGUGAGCUAACAAACGAGGCAGCAGUCGAAGGUAGAAUCAAUGAUUGGGGUGAAGUCGUAACAAGGUAGC
rnacentral:rRNA from 1 species